ensembl:lncRNA
CCUUUAGAUUGUGUUUAUUAAUUUAACAUUUGUUCUUGAAGAAUUUUGAACGUUUAAGAGAUGCUUGCUGAGUUCUUGUUGAUUCCACAUGAAUGUAAUUGAAUGGCAGUGGCGUCCGCAGGGCGGUGUGGGUGUGUAGAUGGAGGUGUGUGCGGAACACAGGCGGUCUGAUGCUAUCAGGCUUUGGCAGAGAUCAGAUCACUGGCAUCAUCUCCAGCUCCUCCUGUGAACCUGCGGCGCUGCUGCAUGGAGAAACCAGGUGCUGCCUAUUCAUUAACCAUUAGCGCUCAAAGCUGCAGCCAGCCGGGCUCGCCGAGCGUCCUAAACCUGCAAACAGUGUUGGCACGCUGUAUGGCUUUAAUCUCGGCUGAUUUCAGGUUGAACACACUCUCUCACAUCCUCUCUGAUCUCUGCGAGCCGUCACACACACAGAUGGUCACCUGGACCUCUCACUGACCGCAGCACCUGUAGCAUCGCCUCACCUGUGCAAUUUGUCGGAGCUACAGAACGGGAACUAGUAAAAUGAUGGUUAAUCCAAUGAAUUCCC